UGAAGGGCAAACCAACCGAAAAGCGGGGGUGCAAAGCCACAGGGUUUAAAGCGUUCCCUAACGUUAUGAUAGCCUGGCGGCCA
rnacentral:ncRNA from 1 species